rnacentral:misc_RNA from 1 species
UUUCCGUAGGUGAACCUGCGGAAGGAUCAUUAUAAAUGAAAAACGAAUAACUUCAGGGAAGAAGGGAACCUGCACGGUGACCUCCCCUGUCGGGCCACCCAAUACCUUCAAAAUGCCGCCGUCCUAGCGGUGGCAGACGAAAAAAAAACAAGAAAAACAAAAUAGAAACAGGCACGGUGGCCCGUUCACCUUCACACAACCCUCCGAGUACCGCUUCCAUGUUGCUUCCCCGCAAAUCCACCUCUUUGGUGAGCGCGGGGGAGGUCCGCAUCAGAUUCACCUGAAUGUCACAGCAGUCAGACAGCCAUUCAUGGAAACAAUAAAACUUUCAACAACGGAUCUCUUGGUUCCC